AACGAACGCUGGCGGCGUGCCUAACACAUGCAAGUCGAGCGGGAAAGUUCCCUUCGGGAGCGAGUACAGCGGCGAACGGGUGAGUAACACGUAGGUAACCUACCCUUGAGACUGGGAUAACCUGCCGAAAGGCGGGCUAAUACCGCGUACGCUCCUUGGACUUCGGUUCAGGGAGGAAAGCGAUACCGUGGGUAUCGCGCUCUUGGUUGGGCUCAUGUCCUAUCAGCUUGUUGGUGAGGUAACGGCNCACCAAGGCUUCGACGGGUAGCUGGUCUGAGAGGACGAUCAGCCACACUGGCACUGCGACACGGGCCAGACUCCUACGGGAGGCAGCAGUAAGGAAUAUUGCGCAAUGGGCGAAAGCCUGACGCAGCGACGCCGCGUGGGGGAUGAAGGUCUUCGGA
rnacentral:rRNA from 1 species